rnacentral:lncRNA from 1 species
CCUACUACAUUCACCAUCUCUUUAUAGAGCUAGUGAUCUUUCUCAAAAGUUUAUAGCAACCCCAACAUAUCAUGGUAGUUGACUAUAGGCUUUGUCAUUCUAAAAUGACUGAGAAAUGGCAGAUAAGAUUUAGGCAUGGAGUUCAUGAUCGCAUCUUCCCUUGCUGUUCAUGCAAGGAGAAGUUGGGCUUGCUCAGUUAUUCGAUCUAUUCGAUCAUGUACAAUACAUGAUCGGUGAUCAAUGCUCUCUUUCUCAUCUGAGUAUUGAAAAUAGUACAACUAAUCUUAUGUAGCUCAACAUCAUCAAGAGUACCAAAAGAGUCUCUAAACACUUUAAGUAUGUCCUCUGGCUGAGCCUCUUUAAACUUUCAAUUAAACUUGUUGUUCAUCAAAGCCCGCAUUAUAUAAUGCACUAUGGUGGGAUCAUUAAGCCACUUCAAAUAAGUGUCUCAAACCAUGCCACGGGCAUUGGGAGCAGGCUCCUUAGGUGUCAGAUCUAUAAUGACAUACAAAAUUCACUUGUACUCCAUGAAAAUUUUAAGUUUUUGAUACCAGUUAUUGAAAUUGAGUCUCAUCAACUUCUCACC